GACGAACGCUGGCGGCGUGCUUAACACAUGCAAGUCGAACGGCAAGGCCCUGCUUUUUUGCUGUGCUCGAUUGGCGAUCGGGUGCGUAUCACGUGUGUAUCCUGCCCUUCACUUUCGGAUGACUUCACGUAACUGGGGCUACUAUCGGAUAGCAUCCCCUGCUCCGUGGAGGGCGUUGGAACGUCUCGGCCGGUGCGGAUGGAUGAGCCGCUUAUGAGUUUGUUGGUUGGGGAGUUGCUUACCAAGCCUGUGACGGGUACCCGGCAUGAGAGGGUGGCCGGCCACAAGGGGACUGAGAUACGGCCCAGAGUCCUACGGGAGGCAACAGUGGGGAAUAUGGCACAGUGAGCGGAAGCCUGAGGCAGAAACGCCGCGUGCGGGAUGACGGCCUUCGGGUUGAAAACAGCUUUCGCCUGUGACGAAGCGUGAGUGACGGUAAUGAGUAAAGAAGCACCGGCUAACUACGUG
rnacentral:rRNA from 1 species